rnacentral:lncRNA from 1 species
CAUAUCGGUAGGCUGCACGCAUUCCGUGAGUCAGCCUCCCUCUCACUGCUAGGAUAACUUUUAGAGAUGUCCAACUCUCCAGAAUCGCCAUUAACCAGAGUCAAACCUUUGGGGAAUGACCAAAGUUUAUAUCCUAACUUCCAAGACUGUUCUAGAAAUUAGAUCUCCCUCCAUGAGCCAGAGAAUUGAGUAACAUUUGCUGAGGAGGCAUGUGGCCAGGGUCACGAUCAACAAAGAGGGUCACAGAUACGUAUGGAAGGAAGGAUGAUGAUCUCAUUCUUUUUCUUGAAGUGCAGUGUUUUUGAAAGAGGCAGCCCACGGAAUGGGAGAAGAUAUUUGCAAAUGACACUACAGAUAAAAGACUGGUACCCAAGAUCUACAAAGAACUUCUCAAACUCAAUACAUGAGAAACAAAUAAUCAAAUCAAAAAAUGGGCAGAAGA